rnacentral:rRNA from 1 species
AGAGUUUGAUCCUGGCUCAGGACGAACGCUGGCGGCGCGCCUAACACAUGCAAGUCGAACGAGCGAGAGAGAGUUUACUUUCUCGAGCGAGUGGCGAACGGGUGAGUAACGCGUGAGGAACCUGCCUCAAAGAGGGGGACAACAGUUGGAAACGACUGCUAAUACCGCAUAAGCCCACGACCCGGCAUCGGGUAGAGGGAAAAGGAGCAAUCCGCUUUGAGAUGGCCUCGCGUCCGAUUAGCUAGUUGGUGAGGUAACGGCCCACCAAGGCGACGAUCGGUAGCCGGACUGAGAGGUUGAACGGCCACAUUGGGACUGAGACACGGCCCAGACUCCUACGGGAGGCAGCAGUGGGGAAUAUUGCACAAUGGGGGAAACCCUGAUGCAGCGACGCCGCGUGGAGGAAGAAGGUCUUCGGAUUGUAAACUCCUGUUGUUGAGGAAGAUAAUGACGGUACUCAACAAGGAAGUGACGGCUAACUACGUGCCAGCAGCCGCGGUAAAACGUAGGUCACAAGCGUUGUCCGGAAUUACUGGGUGUAAAGGGAGCGCAGGCGGGAAGACAAGUUGGAAGUGAAAUCCAUGGGCUCAACCCAUGAACUGCUUUCAAAACUGUUUUUCUUGAGUAGUGCAGAGGUAGGCGGAAUUCCCGGUGUAGCGGUGGAAUGCGUAGAUAUCGGGAGGAACACCAGUGGCGAAGGCGGCCUACUGGGCACCAACUGACGCUGAGGCUCGAAAGUGUGGGUAGCAAACAGGAUUAGAUACCCUGGUAGUCCACACUGUAAACGAUGAUUACUAGGUGUUGGAGGAUUGACCCCUUCAGUGCCGCAGUUAACACAAUAAGUAAUCCACCUGGGGAGUACGACCGCAAGGUUGAAACUCAAAGGAAUUGACGGGGGCCCGCACAAGCAGUGGAGUAUGUGGUUUAAUUCGACGCAACGCGAAGAACCUUACCAAGUCUUGACAUCCUGCGACGGACAUAGAAAUAUGUUUUUCCUUCGGGACGCAGAGACAGGUGGUGCAUGGUUGUCGUCAGCUCGUGUCGUGAGAUGUUGGGUUAAGUCCCGCAACGAGCGCAACCCUUAUGGUCAGUUACUACGCAAGAGGACUCUGGCCAGACUGCCGUUGACAAAACGGAGGAAGGUGGGGAUGACGUCAAAUCAUCAUGCCCUUUAUGACUUGGGCUACACACGUACUACAAUGGCG